CUCCUCUAAUUUUUCUUUUCCUCUAGAGCAUCCAAGAGAUUAAAAGAAGAAGAUAAAGCUCAUCCUUCAAAGAUCCAUGCGAGCUAGCACUCUUGAGGAGCCUGAUCUGCAAUCGAUCUUUAUGUGGAUAAUCUGUAGAGAUCGGACACCUUUGUGUGGCUGCGAGCAACUUAAAGGAGCACCUAUCCAUGUGAUAGACUAGUAGAGAUCAGCAAACUACACUUUGGUAAUGGUUUCUGAACUUAUUAGAUC
rnacentral:lncRNA from 1 species